rnacentral:rRNA from 1 species
UACGGAGGGGGCAAGCGUUGUUCGGAAUUACUGGGCGUAAAGGGCUCGUAGGCGGUCUGUUGCGUCGGGAGUGAAAACUCAGGGCUUAACCCUGAGCCUGCUUCCGAUACGGGCAGACUAGAGGUAUGCAGGGGAGAACGGAAUUCCUGGUGUAGCGGUGAAAUGCGCAGAUAUCAGGAGGAACACCGGUGGCGAAGGCGGUUCUCUGGGCAUUACCUGACGCUGAGGAGCGAAAGUGUGGGGAGCGAACAGG